CUUAUUCAAGAUUUAAAUUAAUGUGAUACAAAUCGAUUAAUUUCUAGUUUAUUAAAUCAAUCAGCUAGAAAAUUUUAUAAUGCAUAUUUUGUGAACAAUAUAUUAAUUGUUUUAUAGAAUAUGGUAUAAUAAUAUAUUCAUGAACGAAUUAUAAAUACAAAAAUGCAUAUUUAACAUGAUACAUUGUGUAACAUUAAAUGAUGAAUAUCAAAGUUAUCCCUGUCUCACAAAAUCGUGGGGAAAAUAUGGUAUGGUAACAUCUGAAUUUUUCUUUACAAUACAGCUAUAGAUGGCUUUUUCUGACAUUGGCGAGGCUAAUUGUUUAUAAUUUCCUUUUUUUACAGUUGGUGUUUAGUGAAAAUAUUAAUGAACAAAGAUAUAUUCAGGGUAUCAAACUUUAUGGACAAUUUUUGAGAAUAAUUCCAGAUACACUGUUGAUAAUAUAUUGCUUAGUAUUAUGUAAAUAUUGGAAAAAUAAUUAUAUUCUUGGGUCACGACGGAGGUUGCCAAAGAAACCGGGGGCCCUUAUAAUAUAAAUUUAUGUUACAUAAUAUAAAAUAUGAUUAUUGUUUACAA